GACGAACCGUGCAAACGUUAUUCGAAAUCACUGGGCAUAAAGGGCGCGUAGGCGGCUCCAAAAGUCAGGGGUGAAAUCCGGCAGCUUAACUGUCGCAGUGCCUUUGAUACUGUGGAGCUAGAGGGAGGUAGGGGUCUGUGGAACUUCCGGUGGAGCGGUGAAAUGCGUUGAUAUCGGAAGGAACGCCGGUGGCGAAAGCGACGGACUGGAUCUCUUCUGACGCUGAGGCGCGAAAGCCAGGGGAGCAAACGGG
rnacentral:rRNA from 1 species